GACGAACGCUGGCGGCGUGGAUUAGGCAUGCAAGUCGAACGGUAGGGUUCCUUCGGGGACCUGAGAGUGGCGAACGGGUGAGUAACACGUAGGUAAUCUACCCUCAAAUCGGGGACAACCCAGGGAAACUUGGGCUAAUACCGGAUGAGUGCGCUUUCGGGUGCAUAAAAGGUGGCGUAAGCUGCUGUUUGGGGAUGAGCCUGCGCUCUAUUAGUUAGUUGGUGAGGUAACGGCUUACCAAGGCGAUGAUAGAUAGGCGGCCUUAACGGGUGGUCGCCCACACUGGGAUUGAGAUACGGCCCAGACUCCUACGGGAGGCAGCAGUCGAGAAUAGUCUACAAUGGACGAAAGUCUGAUAGUGCGACGCCGCGUGAACGAAGAAGCCCUUCGGGGUGUAAAGUUCUUUUAUAUGUGAGCAAUGCUUCCUAGGUGAAUAGUUUAGGGAGAGAGAUAUUAGCAUAUGAAUAAGCAACGGCUAACUCCGUG
rnacentral:rRNA from 1 species